rnacentral:lncRNA from 1 species
CUAGGUUGUACAUUGUAAAAAAUACAACAUGUAAUUGUACUCCUACGAAAAUGGAGAAAACUGGGACAAUAUCUCCUUACUCUCGCAUUUGAAUUAAUGCUUAUACAAAUAAAUGUUACACAUUCAGAAAUUGAUCGAAUUUUGUAUUUCUAAUCUACAAUGACAACUGUAAGGGGAGGUGUUCACAUAACUGAUAGACUUUGUGAACGGUAAGCUACACCAAUGAUUCAAAUAUUUGAACGUUCGAAUUGUUAAAAAAUCUUUUCCAGGA